rnacentral:rRNA from 1 species
GUGCCUCCCUCGCGAACACCCCUGGUUUCGACAACGUCGGGGCGGCCUGGCGUUCUUUUUCUCGUGAGGACGUAAAACUCGCCCGGGCCAACAAACGUCGGGCUAAACCAACGCAACAAAAAACCGGCGUGAAAUACGCCAAGGAACAUGAAAGAGAGUGCGCUCUUCUGGUGCCAGCACUGCUGCGCCAGGACGGGCGUUGUCUUCUUGAUGAGUUUAUAAUGACUCUCGGCAACGGAUAUCUCGGCUCUAACAUCGAUGAAGAACGUAGCAAAAUGCGAUACUUGGUGUGAAUUGCAGAAUCCCGUGAACCAUCGAGUCUUUGAACGCAAGUUGCGCCCGAAUCCUUUUGGUCGAGGGCACGUCUGCCUGGGUGUCACGC